UUCUUGAAGACAUCCUCGGUAAUCUAGCUAAAGCAAUAAAUGACAAGGAAAUCAGUAUUUUUAAUAUUAACAGAUCUACUGUGUGGGAAGGUGCACUGCGUGGAUUCCGAAGAAAUACAUAUUCCCCAACCAAAAGAAUAUCUGUGAAAUUCACUGAUGUGGGCCAUUCUGAAGGUGCAGUUGACAUUGGUGGACCUCGCAGAGAGUUCUUACGACUUCUAAUGAAGCACCUGCAGACCAGCUGUCUAUUUAUAGGACCAGAGAAUCAAAAACAUCUAUGUUUAAAUAGUUCAGCUGUGAGAUCAGAUGACUACUUCAUUGCCGGAAGAGCUAUUGCUGUGAGCCUUGUACAUGGUGGACCACCUCCCCGAUUUCUGGCAACUGAAUUAUAUGAUGCACUAGUGAGAGGACCAGAAAAUGUGACCUGUGAUUUCCAGAAAAUUCCAGAUGAAGAUUUAAAGUCAAAACUGGAGAAAGUUCAAGUUGGGUCUCUCUACCCUGGAUGUGUUAGAUGCAAUCCGGAAGUUUCCUCAAGCAUUUCAACCUGCCUUCUGCCACACAGAGACCAAACUUACCUCUCAAGAAAUUGAUCAGAUGUUCUCUAUCGUUCUGGAGAGUCAGGGAAGCAACAAAAGGCAGACGCAGUCAAAAGUCACAGGAUGGUGGCGAGAUUAUCUGAUAGAUGCACAGGAAGAGGAAACCGGAGUUUCACUUGGAGAAAUUCUAGCUUUUGCCACAGGCACUGAUUAUCCUCCAGCUCUAGGAUGGGAAACUAAGCCAUCCAUUGAAUUUAUUUACAGCAGCGACCUUUUCCCAACUGCAAACACAUAUGCUAAUGUUUUGCGUUUACCAACAGUUCACAAGGAAUAUGAGGACUUUAAAAAGAACAUGGACUUUGCCAUUCAGAAUUCUCCAGGGUUUGGGCAGGCAUAAAAGACACAUGAGUAAAUUUAUGUAUGUACUAAAAAAUCACAACAUGACUUGUUUUAUUGUGGUAACUAAGGACCUAACAUUUGUGGUGGCAUUCAAACUACUGCCUUAUUAAGUUUUGAUUCCAAAUCCUUCAAGAGGUCAAUCAAACCACUCCUAGUUAAUUGGUCAAAUUGUGCUCGAAUUCAGUAGGUCCUUAGGCAUACAUUGGAAAUGAACAUCAGAUACUGCAUCUUUUUCUUUUCAGAGAUAGAAUCACUUUUUUUAUUAUUAUUUGUCAGUUGAGGAUUUUGUUUAUCAAAUAAUAUAUUUGAUGUAAGAAUUACUGUUCAUAAUCUGAAACUUUGUAUUAACUAAUCUGGCCUUUAAUGUUAAAAAUUGUUAUGGCACUGACCAA